CCGGAGCGCGGAGGGCCCGCCCCUGCGCGCCUGACCUCCCGCCGCGGGGUCGGGGCUGGGCGUUGCUUCUGCGGCGUAGAACCCUGGUGGUUGGCGGACCCUGAGAGCUGGGGUCAGGUUCUGCGCGUUCUCCGUCUGGCCUCCUGCCGGGUGCCCGGUGUUUCAGGGAUCCUCCUGCGAUUGGCGCCAGAUGUACUGAGCGCAGCAGUUGCUCGACUUAAUCAAAUUGGCCAAUAUUGACCAAGCACCCAAAGGACGAGAUGCUGUAGCCGAGAAUCGGGAAGUCCGGAUUCCGGUCCUGGCUCUUGUCCGUGUUGUGCCCAAGACUGCGAAUCCGAGAAACCACCAAGGAGCCGACUCCGAUGCAAGUACACGAGGGUUUAUUUACAAGCUCGAGCUUGGGUCCAAGGGCACCCGACACAGCGGAGCAGGGGCUUGGACCCCGAGGUUUUGGCCCUACUGUUUCAAAGGUCUCCUUCCUCCUCCACACAAACACUCCUAAGGUAUGAAACUUCUAAGAAGCACCAUUGAAGGAAUAGAAGAGGAUAAGACAUGAAGUGGACUGUAAAGAUCCAUGAAGACGGGAAACUGCCUUGGUCAUAUAUCCACUGUAACACCUACCAUGGUGCCUGACGCAAAGUGAGUGUUCAGUAACUGCUUGAUGAGAUGGGUGGAAUCCAACUGAACCAAGCGAAAUGGAAUUGAAUUGUGAAGCCAAGAAUACGGGCAGCACACCACAUGGCCCGUUCCCUCUCAUUGUCCUUCUGGGAAUUCAGCCAUGUGUCCAGAAGCUAAAGGAAGAACAGAAUGAGGCCAAGCCUAGGAGCAUUGCCAAUGGAAGUUCCAUGAAGACCCAUCCUCCCUCCUCUGUGCAUUUCCACCUCCAUCCUCCUAAGUUGUACUUACCAUCAUGAAGGUUACAAUUUCUAGUUUCUGAGGGAACUUGAAUUGAAAGGCCAUGGGGUGGCUGCUCAGGAUGUUUGUUAGCUUGGUCAGGGCAUCCAGGUACUCCAGUUUCAGGUUCUUAUCCUGAACCAACCAGUAUGCUCAGAGAUUUCCAAGGUAGGAAUGAUCCUGGGGCAAGGGAAAACUACCUACACAAAAAAUCUGGGAGAUGAGAAGCUAAGGCAUCUAUAGCCUCCCCUAGGCUGAGAUCCUGCAUCUUCCCUCUGUGGUGUCUUUAUGGGGGAAGGGGCAUCCCUCUUAAUAACCUGUUUCUGGAGCUCCCAUCUCAUAUUUACUCUUAAAUUAGGAUAGAUAUAGCUAGCUUCCUUAUCUCUCAAGUUAUUGUCUUUUUACUCAGUAAGUUCUCCUGAAAGAUAUCUAGUUGGAUGAUAAAUGAACAGGGAAUGGGAAAGACUUCUUAUCCUACCCUCACGGCACAUGCUCUGGACAAAUGGCAAAGGCAGGAAAGAUAUUUAGGGGCUCCCUCUUACCUCCCCUGAAGUAAUUGUAAUAGCUCCACUCCCUAGUUCCAUUCAAGGCCAGGCAUCAUUUUCUUGGAGGGGAAGGGUAAAGAAGGCAGGGAUGGGACACUGGAGAAGUAAAGAAAGCAUGAAAUACCUUUUCCAUAAUGCAGUUGUGGUAGUGUUGCAGGACCAUGGCCAGGAUGCCAUCUAAAUGUGUGAAGAUGUCUCCCUUGCUCUCUAAAAUAAUCUUGCUGUAGCUUAAGUAGAUGAUGUUACAGACCAGCCCCCAUUCCCUUCGCUGAUGUUCCUGUAGGAGGAAUGGAAAACUUGCCUUCUCUUCAUCUUAUCCUCCUUGCCUGAUGGGGAAAUGGAUUGGCUAGAUGGCACAGAAGGGAAGACAAGGUUGUGGAAUGGUGAACAGCUGGGAGAAAGGUGGUACAGCUGGUGAUACAAGGGCCUGAAGCUUGGGCAUAAGGGAGUGUGGAAAAUGGAGAAGAGGAUGCAAUUUCCCCACAGUUGGUCAGAGGGUAAUAGAAGCAUCUAUAGGUGAGUCACAGGCCUCAGAGAAGUGGGGAGUCUAGGGAAAUGGGGAUGCCUCAGAAGGUUUUGUGUGGGAGGCUGGCAGAGCUCCCAGGAAUGCCAUCACCUUCAUUAGUUUGAGGAUGAAUGAUGAGUCCUUGUCAGUGAGGACAGCACUAUAUACUUGCAGUUGGUCCAGGACUAUCUUCAGAUGUUUCAUGGACACGAUACUGAGCGCCACAGCAAUGCCCUGUAAUGGGGAUAGCUUCAACCUCUUGCCACAGCUAAGGGUUAGACAGGCACUCUUUGUGCUCUCCCAGAACCAGGGAUUUAGAGAGAGGAGGGGAGAGAAAAAAGAAAGAAAAGAAAUGGAAGGAAAAUUUGGUUCCCCUGACUUGAACUACAUAAAUCCAGAUGGAGAACAAACCAUCCUUGCAAGAAGUAAUUCUAGAAGCAAAUUACAAGAAACAGACCCUUAAUUAUAGAGAAAAAAAAUUGAUGGCUACCAGAGAGGAGGUAGGUAGGGGGAUAGGGGAAUUAGAGGAUGGGGAUUAAAGAGCACAUUUAUGAUUAAAAAAAAAAAAAACAACCUCUAAAAGAUAGAUCAAUAAAGACACACAGGGCUUGUCAAAAUUCAAGAGUCUGAUUCUUGUAUUUUUCAUACUAAUUAACAACACCCAGAAAAGCCCUUCUAAGUAUCAUGGACCAGAGGAGAACCAUCCCCCAUAAUGUUUGUGAACUGUGGGCCCUCAUAUGUAUAUGAAUUAACCUAUGAAUUCAGUAGAGGUUUCUUUGGUGCCUAAUGCAUGGGGGAAAAGCAAAUUAUCCUAGAGUCACAGAUUUGCAAAAUUUUAGGAUUAUCAUAUGGAACACUGCAGGAUAAAGAAUACUUAUAGGCACUAGUAAUUCAGAGAAGGGUUGUGAGGAGGGAACAGAAGGGAAGAGCAAAUCCAAGGCAUAUUAUCAACAGAACUGGAUGGAUGAUCAGAGGAAAUGGAAGAGAGAAGACAAUGCCAAUAUUUCUAACCCAGGAGAACAGGAAACAGCAGUAACCGACUAAAAUGGGCAGGUGGAAAGGUGUCCUGUCUAGAGUUGGGGAGAGAGAAAGGAAGGAGUUCCUGCAUGUGUCUUGUGGGACGUAGUGGAAGGACAACUAAAUGAAAAAUGCUGUCAUGGGGACAGAUGACUGAGUGGGUGCCAAGAGCAAGGGAAGCUUGGGGAUUCUAUAGCUCUCACUGGAAACAGUCUAAUUAAGUUCUUGCUCCUGAGUCUUGUCUUGGGAUAUCAUGUCAUGUGGGAAUGCCCACUUCCCUCCUUCUCCUAAUCUAGAUCCAACUAGCCCAAGUCCCUACCACCACACGCAGCCACUUUAUGUGUCUGUGACCACUCAUGUUGCCUUUAGUAAGGCUAUUUUGUGUAGUCAGCUAUUUUCUUCCUAUACAUGUCUGUCUCCUCAAUGAUUCUGUUUGCAUCUUGGGCUUGGUAGUCAUGAUGGUGAUGGAUGCUCUGAGAAUCUGGGAGGGAAGGGGUAUUGAAGAGGUGAUGCCUGAGAGCAUGGGCACCAAUUCUAUCAGUAAGCAACACAUAGAGAGUGCUUGUGUGCCAGGCAUUGUUCUAGGAGCUUUUACAUUUUUAAUCCUGAAAGUCAUCCUAUAACACAGAUUCCAUGGUAUUCCCACCAAAAAUACAUCAUCUAAGCCUAAUCAUGAGGAAAUAUGAGACAAACCAAAAAUGAGCUACAUUCUACAAAAUAAAUGGUCCAUACAGUUUUAAAUGUCAUGAUCGUGAAAAAUAAAAACUGAGGAACUGUUCCAGAUUAAAAAUAUUAAAGAUAGCCUGGGUGGCUCAGCUGUUGAGCGUCUGCCUUCAGCUCAGGUCGUGAUCCUGGAGUUCCGGUAUUGAGUCCUACAUCCGGGUCCCUGCAUGGAGCCUGCUUUUCCUCCCUCUGCCUGUGUCUCUGCCUCUCUCUGUGUCUCUCAUGAAUAAAUAAAUAAAACCUUUAAAGAAUAUAUUAAAGAUAAAUGAUAACUAAAUGCAUUAUUUGAUUCUAAAUUAGAUCCCACACCAGAGGGAAAAAAAUGUUUUUCUUUUGCUGUAAAAAAACAAUGGUAGGGCAUUUGGCCAUUUUCUGAUUAGGUCUAUAAAUUAGAUAAUAGUACAAUAGCAAUAUUCAUGUCCUAAUUUUGACCACUGUGUUCUGAUUAUGUAAGAGAAUAUCAUUAUUUUUAGGCAGUAUACCCUAAAGUAUUUAGGGGUAAAUGUGCAUCAUGACUGCAACUUCCUAAAAUGAUUCAAAACAUAAAAUAAUAAUAAUAAAUAACUUGUCCAAGGGCACACUAAAAGUGGCAGAGCUGGAAUUCCAACCCAGAUUGUCUAGCUUGCCAGGUCUCAGCUUUUAACUACUUUGUCAUCCUGUGUCUUAAAGGAAAAAUGUUUCUCCUUUGCCAGUUCUUCCACUUCACCUCCCUCUCCUGCAGCUCUUCGUGGACAGUUUGUAGGAUGGAAGAGAUCAUCAUCUUUAUCAGUUUCAUAUUCCUUGAGGUCCGCAGGGUGAAUCCAAAGAAUUUAUAUAGAAAAGCCUAGGAGAAGUGAAAGUGCAGGGUCAUGCAUAGCUUGGAAUGGAGUUAAGGUAGCUUGGGGGAUAGCCAUUUCCCAAACUUGUUUGAAACUUCAGCCAGCACCUUCCUCACUGCCCCAUCCUCCACACUGGACCUCCUAUUCUCUGGGAAAAUCCGGAUAAGGCAGUAAUCCUACAGAGCAUGGGCUCAGUAGGCAAAGGAACCACCAUUGCAUCCCUGAAGCUAGAGGUAAGAGAAAGCUGUAUUUCUAAUUUCUCAGCCUUUUAGGAUAUGGAUCAUCCCUUUAGGAACUCACUCUGAUCCCCAUAUUUCUCAUUUCUAGCUAGGAAAUAAGUUCCUUACAUCAGUGUUUUAUAGCUUUCAGAGAACAGAUCUUUCACCUCCUUGGUUAAAUUUAUUCCUAGGUAUUUUAUUUUUCUUGCAAUUGUAAGUGAGAUUAUUUUCUUUUUUUUUA